rnacentral:tRNA from 1 species
GGCGAGAUAGCUCAGUUGGUUAGAGCGUCGGAUUCAUAACCCGGAGGUCGGGGGUUCAAAUCCCCUCUCGCUA